UAGCCGUAAACGAUACUCGCUAGGUGUCGGCCACGGUGCGACCGUUGUCGGUGCCGUAGGGAAGCCGUGAAGCGAGCCACCUGGGAAGUACGGUCGCAAGGCUGAAACUUAAAGGAAUUGGCGGGGGAGCACCACAACGGGCGGAGCUUGCGGUUUAAUUGGACUCAACGCCGGGAAGCUCACCGGAUAAGACAGCGGAAUGAUUGCCGGGCUGAAGACCCUGCAUGACCAGCUGAGAGGAGGUGCAUGGCGUAGUCGUGU
rnacentral:rRNA from 1 species